UCCGUAGGUGAACCUGCGGAGGGAUCAUUAUUG
rnacentral:rRNA from 1 species